rnacentral:rRNA from 1 species
GGGCAAGGCCGGCGUGCCUAUACAUGCAAGUAGAACGCUGAAGAGAGGAGCUUGCUCUUCUUGGAUGAGUUGCGAACGGGUGAGUAACGCGUAGGUAACCUGCCUUGUAGCGGGGGAUAACUAUUGGAAACGAUAGCUAAUACCGCAUAACAAUGGAUGACACAUGUCAUUUAUUUGAAAGGGGCAAUUGCUCCACUACAAGAUGGACCUGCGUUGUAUUAGCUAGUAGGUGAGGUAAUGGCUCACCUAGGCGACGAUACAUAGCCGACCUGAGAGGGUGAUCGGCCACACUGGGACUGAGACACGGCCCAGACUCCUACGGGAGGCAGCAGUAGGGAAUCUUCGGCAAUGGGGGCAACCCUGACCGAGCAACGCCGCGUGAGUGAAGAAGGUUUUCGGAUCGUAAAGCUCUGUUGUAAGUCAAGAACGGGUGUGAGAGUGGAAAGUUCACACUGUGACGGUAGCUUACCAGAAAGGGACGGCUAACUACGUGCCAGCAGCCGCGGUAAUACGUAGGUCCCGAGCGUUGUCCGGAUUUAUUGGGCGUAAAGCGAGCGCAGGCGGUUUGAUAAGUCUGAAGUUAAAGGCUGUGGCUCAACCAUAGUUCGCUUUGGAAACUGUCAAACUUGAGUGCAGAAGGGGAGAGUGGAAUUCCAUGUGUAGCGGUGAAAUGCGUAGAUAUAUGGAGGAACACCGGUGGCGAAAGCGGCUCUCUGGUCUGUAACUGACGCUGAGGCUCGAAAGCGUGGGGAGCGAACAGGAUUAGAUACCCUGGUAGUCCACGCCGUAAACGAUGAGUGCUAGGUGUUGGAUCCUUUCCGGGAUUCAGUGCCGCAGCUAACGCAUUAAGCACUCCGCCUGGGGAGUACGACCGCAAGGUUGAAACUCAAAGGAAUUGACGGGGGCCCGCACAAGCGGUGGAGCAUGUGGUUUAAUUCGAAGCAACGCGAAGAACCUUACCAGGUCUUGACAUCCCGAUGCUAUUUCUAGAGAUAGAAAGUUACUUCGGUACAUCGGUGACAGGUGGUGCAUGGUUGUCGUCAGCUCGUGUCGUGAGAUGUUGGGUUAAGUCCCGCAACGAGCGCAACCCCUAUUGUUAGUUGCCAUCAUUCAGUUGGGCACUCUAGCGAGACUGCCGGUAAUAAACCGGAGGAAGGUGGGGAUGACGUCAAAUCAUCAUGCCCCUUAUGACCUGGGCUACACACGUGCUACAAUGGUUGGUACAACGAGUUGCGAGUCGGUGACGGCGAGCUAAUCUCUUAAAGCCAAUCUCAGUUCGGAUUGUAGGCUGCAACUCGCCUACAUGAAGUCGGAAUCGCUAGUAAUCGCGGAUCAGCACGCCGCGGUGAAUACGUUCCCGGGCCUUGUACACACCGCCCGUCACACCACGAGAGUUUGUAACACCCGAAGUCGGUGAGGUAACCUUUUGGAGCCAGCCGCAUAAGGGGAUCAGAG